CGACCGGGAUGCGGGAUUCUGGUGAAGGGAAGCCGUUUUCAACAAAAAAGGAAAACUUUUUCAAAUCCUACCGGAACUCAACACCCUCGUCGCCAUCGCCCACAUGAUUAGGGAACGGGGAUUUCGGGCGGCAGUCCAGGCCCUGCUCUAAAAUAAGCUUCCCCAAAGAAAUGUGACUCCUGUGCAACUGUGUGUGGGCUUUUUUUUCCUUUUUUGUGAUGCAUUUUUGGACUGGUGCAACUGAUAUUCCUGAGCCACUUCGACUUUGGUAAAUGUGUGAUGUAGAUUGAAUAGACACAAAAUAAACUCUUUCAUGAUUGAAUUUGGAUGAUGGUGGUUUCCAGCUCCCAAAAAGCCCAAAUUGACAUCUCUCGAAGUUCGGAUCUGACAUGAGAAAGCAUCGUUCAUCAACCAAGGCCGGAAUUUCUUGACAUUAUUCUUGUUUGAGCUCAAGACGGAACUGCUCGUCAAACAAAGACUUGCUUUCACCACUUUGCUUCAAAAUGAGCGGCACUUGGCCACCACUUGGGAGCGAAGAAGUCGCGCCAAAAGCAAAAAAA